rnacentral:rRNA from 1 species
ACCGAGUCUAAACAACUCAUCAACCCUGUGAACUUACCUAAAACGUUGCUUCGGCGGGAACAGACGGCCCCGUAAAACGGGCCGCCCCCGCCAGAGGACCCUUAACUCUGUUGCUAUAGUAUCUUCUGAGUAAAACAAGCAAAUAAAUUAAAACUUUCAACAACGGAUCUCUUGGCUCUGGCAUCGAUGAAGAACGCAGCGAAAUGCGAUAAGUAAUGUGAAUUGCAGAAUUCAGUGAAUCAUCGAAUCUUUGAACGCACAUUGCGCCCGCCAGUAUUCUGGCGGGCAUGCCUGUUCGAGCGUCAUUACAACCCUCAGGCCCCCGGGCCUGGCGUUGGGGAUCGGCGAGGCGCCCCCUGUGGGCACGCGCCGUCCCCCAAAUACAGUGGCGGUCCCGCCGCAGCUUCCAUUGCGUAGUAGCUAACACCUCGCAACUGGAGAGCGGCGCGGCCAUGCCGUAAAACACCCAACUUCUGAAUGUUGACCUCGAAUCAGGUAGGAAUACCC